rnacentral:lncRNA from 1 species
GGAAAUUUCUAUAGAAAGAAAAUAAUUAAUCAGAUUAAAUAAACAUUAUUUGGUAUAAAAGAAAACUAUUAAUAGAUUUAUAUAUGAAUAUUGUAACGCCCCAAUAGUCCCACAUCGAAUGGAAUACUGAUUCCGAUCAGUUUAUAUGAGGCCUAACGUUAGUAAUAAUAACUAGACUUAAACAUUUUGAUCCGGUGAUUUGGGCCCAAUAAGUUAUUAUUGCUGGCGGGUCGGUUCGUUACAAUUAAUCCUAAAUCUUAAGCUGCAUUUUGGAAAAUUUAGAGGUUAUUAAUAGGUUUAUGAAU